UACGAAGGGGGCUAGCGUUGCUCGGAAUCACUGGGCGUAAAGCGCACGUAGGCGGCUUUUUAAGUCAGGGGUGAAAUCCUGGAGUUCAACUCCAGAACUGCCUUUGAUACUGGGAAGCUUGAGUUCGGGAGAGGUGAGUGGAACUGCGAGUGUAGAGGUGAAAUUCGUAGAUAUUCGCAAGAACACCAGUGGCGAAGGCGGCUCACUGGCCCGAUACUGACGCUGAGGUGCGAAAGCGUGGGGAGCAAACAGG
rnacentral:rRNA from 1 species